AGUUCCCAACAUUUCAUUUAAAAAGGAAAGGGCGUCCCAUAGCACCACCUGGUGGACAACCAGGGCUUCACAGCGGAGUACGUUUCCAGGUUGAAGUUUGUAUUUUUCCUCUGAUCAGAUGUCUAUCAUCGUUUAAAUACAAUGUACAGUGCUGUAAAAAAGGCAUUUCUUGUGACUUAAAUGUUUCUGAUUAUCAGACAAUAAUAACCUGAUUAAACACUAAAUCAGCUUUACGUAAGCAAAUCAACAAACUAAAUACAAAAAGAAAAUUAGUAAAGCAAUAAACCAACUGGAAUAAAUCAUUGUUUAAUUAAUAGCUACUGUAAAAUGAAAGCUGAAAUAGCUCUAUGCGUGACAUCAGUCAGCCAUUGUUUCUGAGUGGCUGGACAGCAGCAGCCGCACCACGCAGGCUUUACACAUUUACCAGGCGGAAGAAAAAGUAGCUCCCAUUUAGGCAAGAAUAAUUAUCGUCUGUAUUUCAGCGUCUGAGACUCUCGACAAGGAAAAUAAGAGCUUCAACGUACCCUGAGAAGCAGUUGGCGUUGGUCAGCACGUCUCUCUCAGACACCAGCGUCCCUCCACACACGUGCUGGCCGUUCUUCUGUAAGCUGGCCAUCCACGGCCACUCACCGGCCGACGCCACAGACACUCCACCCGAAAUCCUAGAAGCCAGUGGGGCCUGUCCACAGACCACACCUGGAGGAGGAAGACACAGAUGGUCGUAUCCAACCUGCAACAGCAUGCAGGAGUCUGGCUUGCUUUCAUUUUUCACAGCAAAGAAUAAUAUGCUCUCCAACAAAUAAGACAAGAUUUAAAUCCCAGGAUCAGCAGUUUAGUGCUGCGGUGGAGUUCAGCCUCCAUCAUUUGGACAACAGACCAUAAAUAAAGACAUCAUGGCGUCCUGAA